GAUGAACGCUGGCGGCGUGCUUAACACAUGCAAGUCGAGCGAAGCGCUUUUGCGGAUUUCUUCGGAUUGAAGCAACUGUGACUGAGCGGCGGACGGGUGAGUAACGCGUGGGUAACCUGCCUCAUACAGGGGGAUAACAGUUGGAAACGGCUGCUAAUACCGCAUAAGCGCACAGUACCGCAUGGUACCGUGUGAAAAACUCCGGUGGUAUGAGAUGGACCCGCGUCUGAUUAGCUAGUUGGUGGGGUAACGGCCUACCAAGGCGACGAUCAGUAGCCGACCUGAGAGGGUGACCGGCCACAUUGGGACUGAGACACGGCCCAAACUCCUACGGGAGGCAGCAGUGGGGAAUAUUGCGCAAUGGGGGAAACCCUGAUGCAGCGACGCCGCGUGAGCGAUGAAGUAUUUCGGUAUGUAAAGCUCUAUCAGCAGGGAAGAAAAUGACG
rnacentral:rRNA from 1 species